GAUUUUUUAAUAUAUUUAGUAUAUUUGUUUUACAAGCAAAAAGACCAUAAUAAUGGAAAAAUUA
rnacentral:tRNA from 1 species